rnacentral:snoRNA from 1 species
UGAUCCCUGAUGAGAACUUUAUGUUGUCCUGAAGAAAACUGAUGACUUAAAAAUCAUGCUCAAUAGGAUUACACUGAGUCC